UAUGUCUUCAGAUUUAAACAGCUGUGAUUUCUUUCAACAUCUAAUUGAUUGUCAUUAAAUAAAUAAUUCAGUACAUUUAUCUCUGGUUAAACACACACUGUGAGACAGACAGAUUAGAGACACACUGUAAGACAGACAGGUUAGACACACACUGUAAGACCGACAGGUUAGAGACACACUGUAAGACAGACAGGUUAGACACACACUGUAAGACAGACAGGUUAGAGAGACACUGUAAGACAGACAGAUUAGAGACACACUGUAAGACAGACAGGUUAGAGAGACACACUGUGAGACAGACAGGUUAGAGAGACACUAAGACAGACAGGUUAGAGACACACUGUGAGACAGACAGGUUCGACACACACUGUAAGACAGACAGGUUAGAGAGACACACUGUGAGAUAGACAGGUUAGAGACACACUGUGAGACAGACAGGUUCGACACACACUGUAAGACAGAAAGUUCAGAGAAACACAUUGUGAAACAGACAGGUUAGAGACACACUGUAAGACAGACAGGUUAGAGGGACACUGUAAGACAGACAGGUUAGAGGGACACUGUAAAACAGACAGGUUAGAGACACACUGUGAGACAGGUUCAAGACUCAUUGUAAGGCAGACAGGUUAGAGACACACUGUAAAACAGACAGAUUAGAGACAC